rnacentral:lncRNA from 1 species
CACCUACAGUGCUUCGAAGGUCUUCUGGAUAAUUUAGUUUCUUCUGAUUCCCCCCUGAAUAUAAGUGAAGAUGAGGUCGUUGAUAAUAUGUCAGCACCACCAAUAGAUGUGUUGCCUCCUUUGGAGGAAUUUACAAGUACACCAGAAGAAAAUGUUUUGACCUCACUUUUAUCUGCGUGUUCAUCUGAACCAGAAAAAAUUAAUCAUGAAAACAAUUUUCAAAAUGAGAUGAAACUUCAGAAAUCUAAUGUCUAUUUUCAUAGCUGGGGUAUCAACCAUGAGCGGUUAAGAAAAGACUGUACCUCAGAGUAGGUACAAUCCACUUUUUACCUGCAUGAUUCUUUUUUAAAUGUACUCAUUGGUUAUUUCAAUUCUUCAUAGUAAUCCAUGUAUAAAAUUUCAUGUAAUAAAAAAAAAAAACAUUUAGUACUUUUUAGUUAGGACAUGCCCAAGAAUUUCUUUUUAUUCUGACUACUGAUAGAAUCCGUUUACUCUGGUUUAUUGUGUCAAUUUUAAGCUU